rnacentral:rRNA from 1 species
CCUACGGGGGUCAGCAGUGGGGAAUAUUGGACAAUGGGGGGAACCCUGAUCCAGCCAUGCCGCGUGUGUGAAGAAGGCCCUCGGGUUGGAAAGCACUUUCAGUGAGGAAGAACGCCUGGUGGUUAAUACCCAUCAGGAAAGACAUCACUCACAGAAGAAGCACCGGCUAACUCCGGGCCAGCAGCCGCGGGAAUACGGAGGGUGCGAGCGUUAAUCGGAAUUACUGGGCGUAAAGCGCGCGUAGGUGGCUUGAUAAGCCGGUUGUGAAAGCCCCGGGCUCAACCUGGGAACGGCAUCCGGAACUGUCAAGCUAGAGUGCAGGAGAGGAAGGUAGAAUUCCCGGUGUAGCGGUGAAAUGCGUAGAGAUCGGGAGGAAUACCAGUGGCGAAGGCGGCCUUCUGGACUGACACUGACACUGAGGUGCGAAAGCGUGGGUAGCAAACAGGAUUAGAUACCCCAGUAGUC